ACACUGAUGGUGAAGUGGUUAUCAUGCUUGCCUUCCAUGAUGUUCCAGCAAGCGGCAGGGGUUCGAUUCCCCUUCAGUGUA